rnacentral:rRNA from 1 species
GUAGGCGGGUCUUUAAGUCAGGGGUGAAAUGCCAGGGCUCAACCUUGGAACUGCCUUUGAUACUGGAGAUCUUGAGUCCGGGAGAGGUGAGUGGAACUGCGAGUGUAGAGGUGAAAUUCGUAGAUAUUCGCAAGAACACCAGUGGCGAAGGCGGCUCACUGGCCCGGUACUGACGCUGAGAUGCGAAAGCGUGGGGAGCAAACAGGAUUAGAUACCCUGGUAGUCCACGCUGUAAACGAUGGAUGCUAGCCGUUAGGCAGCUUGCUGCUUAGUGGCGCAGUUAACACUUUAAGCAUCCCGCCUGGGGAGUACGGUCGCAAGAUUAAAACUCAAAGGAAUUGA